CCCUUAGAUGUCCUGGGCCGCACGCGUGCUACACUGACACUUACACCGAGUUUUUCCAAUGCCGAAAGGCCAUUGGUAAUCAGCAAUAAGUGUCGUGAUGGGGAUAGAUCUUUGGAAUUAUUGAUCUUGAACGAGGAAUGCCUAGUAAUCGUAGGUCAUCAGCCUGCGAUGAUUACGUCCCUGCCCUUUGUACACACCGCCCGUCGCUACUACCGAUUGAACGUUUUAGUGAGGUACUCGGACUGAGCCUCAGAAGAUUCACGUCUUUUGUGCUGCUCGGGAAGAUUCCCAAACUUGAGCGUUUAGAGGAAGUAAAAGUCGUAACA
rnacentral:rRNA from 1 species